rnacentral:rRNA from 1 species
UCGGGAAUCUUGCACAAUGGGCGAAAGCCUGAUGCAGCAACGCCGUGUGAGUGAGGAAGGCCUUAGGGUCGUAAAGCUCUGUUGUUGGGGACGAAGGGCGAAGGGUUAAUAGCCCCUAGCCUGACGGUACCCUUCGAGGAAGCCCCGGCUAACUACGUGCCAGCAGCCGCGGUAGUACGUAGGGGGCGAGCGUUGUCCGGAAUUAUUGGGCGUAAAGAGCGUGUAGGCGGCCUGGUAAGUCUGCCGUGAAAACCUGGGGCUCAACCCUGGGCGUGCGGUGGAUACUGCUAGGCUAGAGGAUGGUAGAGGCGAGUGGAAUUCCCGGUGUAGCGGUGAAAUGCGCAGAUAUCGGGAGGAACACCAGAAGCGUAAGCGGAUGGCUAGACGGUGACUGACGCUCAGGCACGAAAGCGUGGGGAGCAAACAGGAUUAGAUACCCGCGUAGUCC